GAUGAACGCUGGCGGCGUGCCUAAUACAUGCAAGUCGAGCGAACAGACGAGGAGCUUGCUCCUCUGACGUUAGCGGCGGACGGGUGAGUAAGACGUGGAUAAGCUACCUAUAAGACUGGGAUAACUUCGGGAAACCGGAGCUAAUACCGGAUAAUAUAUUGAACCGCAUGGUUCAAUAGUGAAAGACGGUUUUGCUGUCACUUAUAGAUGGAUCCGGGCCGGAUUAGCUAGUUGGUAAGGUAACGGCUUACCAAGGCAACGAUGCGUAGCCGACCUGAGAGGGUGAUCGGCCACACUGGAACUGAGACACGGUCCAGACUCCUACGGGAGGCAGCAGUAGGGAAUAUUCCACAAUGGGCGAAAGCCUGACGGAGCAAUGCCGCGUGAGUGAUGAAGGUCUUCGGAUCGUAAAACUCUGUUAUUAGGGAAGAACAAAUGUGUAAGUAACUAUGCACGUCUUGACGGUACCUAAUCAGAAAGCCACGGCUAACUACGUG
rnacentral:rRNA from 1 species